GAGACCACAUUGUUUUCUCAUGGAGCAGCGCCGGGGGCCAGAACAGGUCGGGCAGCAUUCCCUGUCCCGUGACUUCUGAUGUGUACAGCCAGCCAGAUGCGUCAACACCCCAGAAUCAGAUGUGUGGGGUGCAACCAGAUGGACUCUCACUAGACUGCGACUGCCACACGUCAAUGACUCGAAUCUGAAGGGGAAUCACCAGGGCAGGAACAGAAGAGAAAAAAGGGGUGGGACGGGCGAGGGCGUGUUGGAUCAGUGUUCACAAAAGCACCAGCAAAACCCGUGACACAUAUUGUGGCCUCUUGCUCUUCACCUCCACACGAGGCCGGCAGGACCCUGGUGGGCCCCUCGCUCUUGUUCCACUCCCACAGUACCCCAAGGGCCGGGGAAAGGCUUCAUCCCUGUACGUAGAAGCCACGUCGAUGGUUGUAUUCAAGCAAAAUCUUUACUCUGUAAACACCCGGUUGUCUUAGGUGUGGCAGGACGUGCUCUGGUUCAUUUAGUUUCAUCUGGCCCCAUGGAGGGACUCAAAGAGCCGAAAUUUGCCCUGAGGGGCCUGAAUGAAAGGCUGAAGGGGUUCCUGGAGCACGUGAAUCAGUUGGAAUGGACCAAUCGUGAACUGGAGGAGCAGAUUGCAGAGUGGAGAUUGAGGAACGUUGUUCCAUGUUGGGACUGGAGCAACAAGGAGGCGCUGACACAGGAACUGCGAGCUCAGAGAGAGCUGGAUCAGCACCAGCGGCGAGCAGUAGAGGAGUGUGAUAGAGUACUAGUGCAGGUUGCUGCAGGAGAGGAUGGCAGAGGAAUGGAUCUCUCCCGGACCAGCACCCAGUGCGACCACUCCAGCCCAGCCCAGAGCAGCCCUGACUCAGCCACACCACCAAAUCCAGCCCCAGGCUCUGGUCCCGUUUCACAGAGAAGGCCCCAAAAGGAUGCAACCAGCCCCACAGCUGCAUUUCUGUCACAGGUACGAGUAUUCGCUCUCUGUCUCUCCUUCAAACAC
rnacentral:lncRNA from 1 species